rnacentral:rRNA from 1 species
ACAUGCAAGUCGAGGGGCGAGACAUAAAAGUAGCAAGUACUUGGUGGCGACCGGCGCACGGGUGAGUAACGCGUAUGCAACCUACCUAUCAGAGGGGAAUAACCCGGCGAAAGUCGGACUAAUACCGCAUAAAACAGGGGCACCGCAUGGUGAUAUUUGUUAAAGAAAUUCGCUGAUAGAUGGGCAUGCGUUCCAUUAGGUAGUUGGUGAGGUAACGGCUCACCAAGCCGACGAUGGAUAGGGGAACUGAGAGGUUGGUCCCCCACACUGGUACUGAGACACGGACCAGACUCCUACGGGAGGCAGCAGUGAGGAAUAUUGGUCAAUGGGCGGGAGCCUGAACCAGCCAAGUCGCGUGAAGGAAGAAGGAUCUAUGGUUCGUAAACUUCUUUUGCAGGGGAAUAAAGUGCAGGACGUGUCCUGUUUUGUAUGUACCCUGAGAAUAAGGAUCGGCUAACUCCGUGCCAGCAGCCGC